GGCACUUUGGCGGAGUGGUUAACGCGCUGGCCUGCUAUUAUCUCCGCGAUCGUAACAAAGCCAGUUCCUUCGGGAGCGUGAGUUCGAAUCUCACAGGUGUCG